rnacentral:sRNA from 1 species
UCUGUGGGUAUGAAAACAUGGCUAGCUUAAGAUUGUGUAUGUUGAGUCGAAAUGUUAACUGUCGAUUUAGGCCUAGCUUUGGAGCCUUAAAUCACAGUUUUCCUAGGCUUCUGUCAACAACAAGUACAAUGAAUGGGAAAUAUCUCCAGCUAGAUGUUCAAAAUGAUAUUGCUGUCAUUCGAUUUGACAAUCCAGAUUCUAAAGU